rnacentral:tmRNA from 1 species
GGGGAUGACUGGCUUCGACAGGGAAGGCAUGUCGUAGAUCGCAAGCCGAGACGCCCAGUCUCGUAAAAGGGCAAAAGCCAUAACAGGCAACAACACCUUCCGGGCUCAGCCUCAGCUGGCCCUCGCUGCUUAGUUAAAGUAGCGCGCCUCUCUCCGUUCGCUCGGUGAUUGGGAAGUAGGCGACAGCAAGCCGGGUGCUCCUGAUGUGAUUGUUUGCUAGCAUCGGGCUAAGAUACGCAGACUGAUCCGGCGGCGCUUUGUUGGGGUGCAACCGUCGGACGACAACCAACAACAAACUAAGCUUGUAGCACAUCUGCGGCAGAAUUUUCUGGACGGGGGUUCGACUCCCCCCAUCUCCACCA